rnacentral:rRNA from 1 species
UGCCUAANCAUGCAAGUCGAACGGGCCGUAGCAAUACGGUCAGUGGCGAACGGGUGAGUAACGCGUGGGAAUCUGCCUCGAGGUACGGAAUAACCGCGGGAAACUGCGGCUAAUACCGUAUGUGGCCCAAGGGCCAAAGGAGCAAUCCGCCUUGAGAGGAGCCCGCGUCCGAUUAGCUAGUUGGCGGGGUAACGGCCCACCAAGGCGACGAUCGGUAGCUGGUCUGAGAGGAUGAUCAGCCACACUGGAACUGAGACACGGUCCAGACUCCUACGGGAGGCAGCAGUGGGGAAUAUUGGACAAUGGGGGAAACCCUGAUCCAGCAAUGCCGCGUGGGUGAUGAAGGCCUUCGGGUUGUAAAGCCCUUUUGGCGGGGACGAUGAUGACGGUACCCGCAGAAUAAGCCCCGGCUAACUUCGUGCCAGCAGCCGCGGUAAUACGAANGGGGCUAGCGUUGUUCGGAAUUACUGGGCGUAAAGGGCGCGCAAGCGGCUUUGUAAGUUGGGCGUGAAAGGCCUGGGCUUAACCCGGGAAUGGCGCUUGAGACUGCAAGGCUCGAGUACGGGAGAGGAUGGUGGAAUUCCCAGUGU